GUCUGAAGUGAAACACGUGUUGUAAGUGUAAAUAAAGUGUAAUUAAAAAAAUUAAAAAAGUGUAAUUAAAAAAAUCAAUUGAACCAUGAAUUUUAAUGCGAACAUAUUCCAAACUCAAUCAGUUUUUACGGAUGAAACUGUACAAAGCACACCGAAUAAUGUCGCAG